rnacentral:lncRNA from 1 species
GCUGGUCAUAGUAGUCAUAUUUUUACACUCAGCUGACUGGCACUGAUAUCCUCAAUACCCUUGACAUCAUCUUAAACAAAUAUGAAUUUCAAAUAUAUCACCGCUUGAGACAAUCCAAGGUACUCUUAGCAAGCAUCCAAUAUUAUCAAUAUCCAUCACAAUCUGUAUGCCUUUUACUUUGAAAACUAGACUUUCAACUUUCACUUUUAUGCAAUCAUAAAAUUCUCUCAUUGAUUUAGGGUAAGUGAGCAAAUCCAAGGAGCAGAUAAAUUUUCAGCCCAUCA